AUAGAUAAAAUCUCUGUACUGUUAUCAGGACACGACAAACCAAAAGAACCAAGUUUGUAUUUGGAGAGUAUUUCAGAGACUCUUUCAGAGAAGGAUCUUAGUCAUUCAUCUCAGGAUGCCAAUCAAGAAGAAAAAAACAGAGUAAAUGCACAAGUAGAAGGACACAAAAUUUUAUCAAAAUCAGUGAAAGAGGAAGAAGAACCUAAAGGAAGUGAAAAUAAC